rnacentral:rRNA from 1 species
AUGGACACAGCCAUCAGUGCCGCAGUUUGGGUGGUAGGCAAGGCGCUGGCCCUUGUUUCGGAUGGCUUACUGGAGAACUGGGCGGCCUGCGACAAUCUCGGCCCCAAUAUCAGCACCCUCAAGAGGAAGUUGCUUCAUGCGCAGGGGAUACUGUACACUGCGCACGGCAGGGACAUCACCAACCCUGCGCUCAAGGAUCAGCUUCACAUGCUGCGGCAGCUAGCAGAUGAGGCGAAUGACGUGCUUGAUGUGCUGGACUACUUCCGCAUCCAGGAUAAGCUCAACAGCACCUAUGAUGCCGCUGAUAAUCAUCCCGGGGGCUGCAUUCACAGCCUAGGUAUCAAUGUGCGGCACACCACUCGAGCUGUUUUUGCCAAUAAAUUCAAGCUAUCCUCAAGCUUGCAUGAUGCUCGUGGUGGCAAUCUUGACGACCAAGAAGGUGAUGCAAAACAAGGAUGCCUAUCAUUUGUCCGCACAUGUGGCGGGUGGCAUGUUGUUGGCAGGGAAUCCUUUCCGAAGGGAGCCUCCAGUAGUGCUCGUGGUGCUACCCAUGCUGAUGCUAAAAUAUUCACAUGCUGCUCUUUUCCAUCCAUCCAAGAUGAUGGUCUCACUAGCAUUUCAGAAUCUUCCCAGGCACCCAUAGAAGAUGGUCAAAAAAUGGAGUUUAAUCGUGUAGAAAUGUCUAAAAAGAUGGCAGAAAUUGUACAACAGUUGGAUCCAUUGUGUUCUGAGGUGAAGGACAUCCUUGAUCUGGAGCCCGGCAAACCUACCCAAGGCAGCAUUGUUGGGAACAGACUCAAAACCACCCCAACAAUAAUAGAGACAAAGUUAUUUGGAAGGGAUGCUGAGAAAAUGGACAUUGUAGAUGGCAUUACCCAUGGAAAAUAUUGUGCCGGUGGACUCACCGUGCUUCCAAUUGUUGGCCUAGGGGGUAUUGGGAAAACGACUUUCACACAACAUGUAUAUCAAGAAGUGAAGAGCUCUUUUGAUGUAAUGCUUUGGGUCUGUGUGUCUAUGAGUUUUGAUGCAAAUAGGAUGCUACAAGAGAUUGUGAAAAACAUCCCUGAGGUAGAUGGUGAAACAAAACAUGGUACUGCAGAAGAGCUUAUCGAACAAAGAUUAAAACAUAAGAGGUUCUUGCUGGUUUUGGAUGAUGUGUGGACAUAUCACGAGUAUGAGUGGAAAAAACUGUUAGCUCCCUUCAAAAAAGGAGAGACGAGAGGUAAUAUGGUUAUUGUCACUACUCGGCUUCCAGAGACAGCUACAAUGUCUAAAACUGUUGACUAUUCGAUUGACCUGAAUAGCUUACGAGAUGAAGAUUUCUUGCAUUUAUUUGAAGCAUGUGUAUUUGAUCAACAAAAGUCAUUGGAAGACCAUCGUGAAUUGCUUGAUGUUGGAAAACAAAUAGUGGUCAAAUUGAAAGGUUCCCCUCUUGCGGCAAAAACUGUAGGUAGAUCACUAAGAAGCCAACUUACAUUGGACCAUUGGACAAGAGUUCUGGAAAGCAGAGAAUGGGAGUUUCAAACCGGCGACUAUGACAUUAUGCCAGCUCUGAAACUUAGCUAUGAUUAUCUCCCUUUUCAUCUACAACAGUGUUUUUCCUAUUGUGGUUUGUUCCCUGAAGAUUAUGAGUUUGGUAGCAAAGAGUUGGUUCACUUAUGGAUGGGGCUCGAUAUUCUAGAUUCACAUGAUCAAAGGAAAAGUCUUGAAGAUGUUGGGUUGUGCUAUUUAAAUGACUUGGUUAAUAGCGGUUUUCUCAAGAAGAACAAAAAAGAUGACGGCAGUCAUUGUUAUGUUGUUCAUGACCUACUACAUGACUUGGCAGUUAAUGUUUCAUCACCAGAGUGUCUUAGCAUAUCAAGUUCCAAUGUGAGACAUGUACAAUCUUCCCUCUCUGUACGUCACUUGUCUAUCAUUGUAGAUGAGAGAGAUGUCAGUGAUCGAAUGACCUUUGAUGAUUUUAAGAGAGAAUUGAGUACAUUACAAACAAAGUUGAAGGUUGAAAAUCUACAAACUGUGAUGCUAUUUGGAAAAUUCCAUGUAAGCUUUGCAAGGACUUUUGGUGAUCUGUUUGCAGAAGCAAAAUCCCUUCGUGUUAUUCUUUUGUCCGAGGUAUCUUAUAGUUACAUUCUGGAGGAUAUGUUCCAUAGCCUUCCGAAUUCUAUCCAUCUUCGCUACCUAAGGAUAACUACAGGAUAUGAAGCAAAAUUGAGUUUGAACAGCAACAUCUCCAGGUUAUAUCACCUGAGGGUCCUAGAUGUUCAACACUGCAAUGACCACCGUGAUGUUCGAGCAAAGAGCAACCUUGUAGUUUCAGUUCAAAAAAUGAGCAACCUUGUAAAAUUGCGCCAUUUUAUUUUCCAGGACUGUGGAUUCGAGUUAAGGCAAAUAGGAAAGUUAGUCGAUCUUGGUGGGGUACUAAGAAUCCAUAACAUUGAGAAUGUCGUACAAAAGGAAGAAGCGAACGAAGCAAACUUGGUACACAAAAACCACUUAGAGAAGCUAAUAUUACAGUGGGGUACUUAUGGAGACGAUAUGGAUUCUAUACAAGAAUAUGUUCUUGAAAAUCUUAAACCUCAUAGCAAUCUCUUACAUCUGCACAUUGGAGGGCACAGAGGUGCUUCUUGCCCAUCAUGGCUAGGUGGGAAACUCUCGGUUAAAAAUUUGGAAUCUCUUCAUCUGCAUGAUGUAGGUUGGAAAAUAUUUCCACCUCUAGGAGAGUUGUGGUUCCUUGGUGAAGAGCACCAAAGUUGUAUCGCAAGUCAAAGCUUUCAAAAUCUGAAGAGGCUGGAACUAGUUAAGAUACAAAAGUUGAGAAAAUGGGUUGAAAAUAGCACUUGUGGUUUGUUCUCUCAGCUAGAAGAGCUCACUGUUAAAGACUGCCCUGAACUCAUGGAAUUGCCAUUUACACGCUGUCAAUUAGAGCACGAAGCUGCAAGCAUGACUUGGUUUCCUAGAUUAUGGAAGCUCGAGAUUCUGGACUGCCCAAAACUAGAGUCUUUGCCUCCUAUGCCUUGGACUUCUGCUCCAUGCUCUGCCAGGAUAGUCCGGGUAGGAUCUUGUUUCGAAUACUUGCAUUACUCAAAAGAACAUGGGCGGCAAGAUGGCUUGUGGAUUACGGGGAGGGGUGGUCAAGAUGGCAUGUUCUGGAAUGUGUUGGCAUUCUCUAAUCUAGCUGAUCUUAACCAGCUGCACAUGACGAACUGCCCACUUGUCCCACUGGAUCACCUCCAAAGGUUAGCAUCUCUGAAGUCCCUCAGUAUACAUUAUUCAAGUAAUAGCAAUGUCUUGUUGCCAGCUGAUAGAGAGAGUGAUGUCACAUUCGAGUUACCAGUUGAAUGCCUCAACAUUGCAUAUUCUGGUGCUGGUGAGAAGGAAUUGACACAGUUGCUCUCUCAUUUCCAUGUUCUGAGCGAGUUGAGGUUAUCUCAUUGUGAAAAUAUAACAAUGGUUAGUGUGGUGGAGCAGUCGCAGACGACAAGAGGAGAGGAGGAAAUAACAGCAGGAGGAGAAUAUGGACUUUUGCUUUCGUCUCCCCAUCUACAGAAAUUGGUAAUCUUAUAUUGCUGUAAGUUGAGCCUUCUAGGCUGUUCACUCAAAGGCCUUCGCUCAUUCCGCAUAGAAGGUUGCCCCAACUUCUCUUCCUCUUCAUGCAUAUGGCAUCUCCUUGCUCAUGGCUGCCUCACAGAAUUAUACAUCUUUAAGACCCCCGAAUUCUUCGCCUGUUUCCGGCCCCCACGGGCGCAUGACAAAGAGCCCACAUCUUGCAAACUUCAGAAGCUAGAAACAGAUGACCUCACGGGCCUCCUUGUUGUGCCCAUCUGUAGCCUCCUCUCUUCCUCCAUCACCAACUUAUACUUUCAAAACAAUUAUGAGGUCGAGCGCUUCACUAUGGAGCAAAAGGAUGCCCUUCAGCUCCUCACCUCCCUCCAGGUGCUCACGUUUAGUGGCCUAGACAAGCUGCAGUGCCUCCCAGUAGGGCUACACAGACUUUCCAGCCUCAAGACAUUGCAGAUUUACCACUGUGAGGCCUUCCAAUUGCUGCCCAAGGAUGGCCUCCCAACUUCUCUUCAAAAAUUAGUAAUCUACUACUGUCGUGCCUUCAAAUCACUGCCCAAUGACAGCCUCACGCAUACUCUGCAAGAUUUAAGGAUCACGGGCUGCCCUUCCUUGGAAUCGCUGCCCAAGGACGGUCUCCCAAGUUCACUGCAAGACUUAUGGGUCAGUGAUUGUGGUGCCCUGAGAUCGCUGCCCAAGGAUGCCUCCCGUGUUCUCUGA